rnacentral:rRNA from 1 species
GAUGAACGCUGGCGGCGUGCCUAAUACAUGCAAGUCGAGCGAACAGAUGAGGAGCUUGCUCCUCUGACGUUAGCGGCGGACGGGUGAGUAACACGUGGAUAACCUACCUAUAAGACUGGGAUAACUUCGGGAAACCGGAGCUAAUACCGGAUAAUAUAUUGAACCGCAUGGUUCAAUAGUGAAAGACGGUUUUGCUGUCACUUAUAGAUGGAUCCGCGCCGCAUUAGCUAGUUGGUAAGGUAACGGCUUACCAAGGCAACGAUGCGUAGCCGACCUGAGAGGUGAAUCGGCCCCCCUGGACUGGAGACCCGUCCCGAACUCCUACGGGAGGCAGAGGUAGGAAUUCUGCCGCAAGGGGCGAAAGCCUGACGGAGCAACGCCGCGUGAGUGAUGAGGGUCUUCGGUUCGUAAAACUCUGUUAUUAGGGAAGAACAAAUGUGUAAGUAACUAUGCACGUCUUGACGGUACCUAAUCAGAAAGCCCCGGCUAACUACUU